rnacentral:rRNA from 1 species
AUUGAACGCUGGCGGCAUGAUUUACACAUGCAAGUCGAACGGUAACAGGCCGCAAGGUGCUGACGAGUGGCGAACGGGUGAGUAAUGCAUCGGAACGUGCCCAGUCGUGGGGGAUAACUACUCGAAAGAGUAGCUAAUACCGCAUACGAUCUAUGGAUGAAAGCGGGGGACCGUAAGGCCUCGCGCGAUUGGAGCGGCCGAUGUCAGAUUAGGUAGUUGGUGGGGUAAAGGCUCACCAAGCCAACGAUCUGUAGCUGGUCUGAGAGGACGACCAGCCACACUGGGACUGAGACACGGCCCAGACUCCUACGAGAGGCAGCAGUGGGGAAUUUUGGACAAUGGGCGCAAGCCUGAUCCAGCAAUGCCGCGUGCAGGAAGAAGGCCUUCGGGUUGUAAACUGCUUUUGUACGGAACGAAACGGCUCUGGUUAAUACCCGGGGCUAAUGACGGUACCGUAAGAAUAAGCACCGGCUAACUACGUG